AUGCUUCAAAGUAUUAUUAAAAAUGUGUGGAUCCCCAUGAAGCUCUACUAUACCAAGUUUACCAGGAUAUUUGGGUCGGAAUGGGGCUGAUGAACCUCACCGUUCAUAAAAUCCAGACUGCUAAUAAAAGAAGUAAAGCUUUGAAAGCUCUGGCGCCUGCUCAUGGUCAUCACUAAUCAGCUUUACCUGGCAUACACAUGAAAUGAAACAUCAGUCAGCCUGUAAAUUUAAGCAAGCUGU